rnacentral:tRNA from 1 species
GCCCUCGUAGUUCAAUGGAUAGAAUAGUCCCGUCCUAAGGGAUAGAUGCACGUUCGAUUCGUGCCGAGGGCA